rnacentral:rRNA from 1 species
UCGAGAAUCUUUCGCAAUGGGCGAAAGCCUGACGAAGCGACGCCGUGUGAGCGAAGAAGGCCUUCGGGUUGUAAAGCUCUUUCGCUUGGGAACAAGAAAUGGGUACUAAUACUAUCCAGAUUUGAGGGUACUAGGUAAAGAAGCACCGGCUAACUCCGUGCCAGCAGCUGCGGUAAUACGGAGGGUGCAAGCAUUGAUCGGAAUUACUGGGCGUAAAGGGCGCGUAGGCGGACUGGAAAGUCAGAUGUGAAAUUCCGUGGCUCAACCACGGAGCUGCAUUUGAAACUUCCAGCCUGGAGCGUAGUUAGGGAAAACGGAAUUCCACGUGUAGCGGUGAAAUGCGUAGAUAUGUGGAAGAACACCAGUGGUGAAGACGGUUUUCUGGGCUAUUGCUGACGCUGAGGCGCGAAAGCUAGGGGAGCAAACAGGAUUAGAUACCCCUGUAGUCC